rnacentral:lncRNA from 1 species
CGAACGAAUUGUGCACUAAUGAGUUUGGUAAUCUCCUCUUUUAUGACUUCUCGUCUUUCCGGUGCAAAUUGCAUCUUCCUUUGCUUCAUAGGUCUUGCUUCUGGGUUCACGUUAAGUCUAUGUACUGCAACCUCUGGAUCAAUUCCAGGCAUGUCCUCAACAUUCCAAGCGAAUACAUCAAUAUUCCGGGAAAGAUAGCUUAGAAGCUCAGCCAUGACCUCUGCAUCUAACCCCCGACCAACUGUCACUUUUCUUCCAGACUCAAUCUCGACCUCCUCCAAUCCUUUUACCGGAGCUAGCCUUCCGUAAUUUUCAUGCUCGAGCUCGAGCUCUGUAACUUGCAUGACGUCAUUUUUUAUUUUUCGAACGCUAGUCACAUAACACUGUCAGGCCACCGUUUGGUUGCCUCGGACUACCCCGAUGCCAUUAGAAGUAGGGAAUUUCAUAGCCAAGUGAAAAGUUGAGACAAUAGCUCGAAUUCUGUUGAGCAUUGGUCUUCCCAAUAUGGCGUUGUAAGCCAUUGGCAUACGGACGACUUCAAAGGUAGUGAUUUACGUCACCUGUUUACCUUCGGCUCCCAAUGUUAAGGGUAACCCGACGAUACCUUUCGGGAUGAUGACCCCACCUCCAAACCCUUGGAGGGGUGUUUUCACUGGCUUUAGUUGUUCUGACGAGAUCCCCAUUUGAACAAAAGCUUCGUGAAAUUGCACGUUUGCUGCAUUUCCGUUAUCUACCAGAAUUCUCUUGACUUCAAAGUUUGCGAUGAUGGCCGAUAUGACAAGGGCAUCAUCAUGGGGGAAUGCUAUGCCUUCCAAGUCAUCCAUUCCAAAACUGAUGUCCUCUGUACGACCAAGAUCUGGUCUUGAGAUGAUUGGUGGCUGCCUGGCAUACUGUUUUCGCCCACUGCUAGAGUCCCCUCACGAGGUUGUUCCUCCGACAAUGAUAUUGAUAGUGCCUGCAGUUGGUUGCUUGUUUUCCCAAUCCUCUGGGCCUUUCCCCCCGUUCUAGUUAUUCCUUGGGCAUUUGUCAUUGUUAAUGUAAGAGCUCAAAAAUCCCUUCUUAUAAGAGGUUCGAUUUCUCGCUUUAAGGCCAGACAGUCUUCUGUUGUAUGGCCGUGAUCUCUAUGGAAAUCACAGUAUUUACUCUUGUCACGAGUAUUAGGGG